AACGAACGCUGGCGGCAUGCCUAACACAUGCAAGUCGAACGAUGCUUUCGGGCAUAGUGGCGCACGGGUGCGUAACGCGUGGGAAUCUGCCCUUGGGUUCGGAAUAACAGUUGGAAACGACUGCUAAUACCGGAUGAAGACGAAAGUCCAAAGAUUUAUCGCCUGAGGAUGAGCCCGCGUAAGAUUAGGUAGUUGGUGGGGUAAAGGCCUACCAAGCCGACGAUCUUUAGCUGGUCUGAGAGGAUGAUCAGCCACACUGGGACUGAGACACGGCCCAGACUCCUACGGGAGGCAGCAGUGGGGAAUAUUGGACAAUGGGCGAAAGCCUGAUCCAGCAAUGCCGCGUGAGUGAUGAAGGCCUUAGGGUUGUAAAGCUCUUUUACCCGGGAUGAUGAUGACAGUACCGGGAGAAUAAGCCCCGGUUAACUCCGUGCCAGCAGCCGCAGUAA
rnacentral:rRNA from 1 species